ensembl:snoRNA small nucleolar RNA, C/D box 111
UAGCCUAAGAUGAUGGCUUUAAAUUUCAUGUCUUUUCUCUAACAUUUUUCUCUGGAGAAAGUUCUUGGUCUUGCUC